rnacentral:lncRNA from 1 species
AUGCACGUGUACUAUUGUGCAAUAAGAACUGAGUUUAUUUCUAAGAUCAGAAAGAAAAAAAUAUAUUCAUGGCCAAUUUCAUUUCUGAAAAGGAGCUUCCUGCUACUAACGAUUGGUUUGCUCUUCCAUUUUUUAAAAUUAAAAUUCUGAUCCUUCAAAUAUAGUCACAUAUACAUGCAACGAUGUUAAUCAUUUACUAACUCGAAGAUAGUGGUUUUGUUUUUUGAUCACUCACCGUGAAAUAACAUCAAAGUAUGAACAGCAAGUGCUUUGAACAAGGAAGGAGCUGGGAGUUUAAGAAAUGAAGCGUGUCUUCCUCGGCCUUUGCUGCAAGUAAGCAAGUCUUGUGGGUAUCAGUGACGGAAAGGUUGGGCAUCACCAUAAGAACCUGUUAAUCCAGGCAACCUCAACUCUGUCAGCACUGUAGUGAGUUUCCUUACAGAUCUCUUCAUGAUGUGGCCAAACAUCUUCCUCGCAUCUCACCAGGCCCAUCGGCAGUCACAGGACUCCUUUUAUAUGACCGCCAUCAGCAUCUCUGCUCUAGCCCCAGGUUUCUAUGAAGGCAUGGCGGAGACCGACCAUCCUUUCCUACACACACCAGCCCCAGAGGUGUGGAGAGGCCCCCAGGCAUGAACUGAUGGCAUCUUGGGGCUAUGGAGUGACGGUGGUCUAGCCUCGCCCGUGUGUCUCUGCAUCCAGGUGUGAAGGGGUGGCACACGGCAGCCGCUUGGGACAAAUAGGACAGAUGUUUGUUUCCCCUCAGCCGGGAGGAUGAAGACAAGGCACUCCACCUGAGGCCGUCCUUUGAAACAAACCAGAGCUCAUUUCUGGGUCCGUGGCCUCGUGGGGGGCCCUUGCCCCCUUGGAAUGCCACCAGGAUCAGGUCUUGCCUGCCCCAGGGCUCCUCUCUGUGAAUCCGCACACUGACCUGAGGUUCUGGGUAAGAGUGAGUCACAGUUCAUACACCGCUCGUAUUCCAUUCUCACUGCAAAGAAGAGCUUCUGUGUCUUCACUCUGAGGGAAGGUAACCAGCUGGGUGGCGGCUUGGGGCCCCUGUGAGCACGGUCAUCUCUGGUUCACUUAGUGGAAGGAAGUUUAAAAGACACAUGUAUUAUAGCACAUUCCUGCUGCUGCUGCUGCUAAAUCGCUUCAGUCAUGUCCGACUCUGUGUGACGCCAGAGACGGCAGCCCACCAGGCUCCCCCAUCCCUGGGAUUCUCCAGGCAAGAACACUGGAGUGGGUUGCCAUUUCCUUCUCCAAUGCAGGAAAGUGAAAAGUGAAAGUGAAGUCGCUCAGUCGUGUCCGACUCUUAGCGACCUCAUGGACUGCAGCCUACCAGGCUCCUCUGUCUGUGGGAUUUUCCAGGCAAGAGUACUGGAGUAGGGUGCCAUUGCCUUCUCCAGCACAUUCCUGAGGGCACACUAAUUAUGUAGUUAUCUUGAAAGUUAAUUGUACUGGAUUUUAAGUGAACCUGGAAUAAUACUUCUUAGUCCUUGAGUUUCCCUUGAGAGCUGUGUGUUGUGGAGGCUGGUUGGGGUUGGAGGUUGAGCAGUCUUGGAGGGAACAGUGUUCUCACUGGACUAAGAACAUUCCUUUUGACUGGUGGCAAGCUUCACUGGUGGCUCAGUUGGUAAAGAAUCUGCCUGCAAUGCAGGAGACCUGGGUUCAAUCCCUGGGUUGGGAAGAUCCCCUGGAGAAAGGAAAGGCUACCCCCUCCAGUAUUCUGGCCUGGAGAAUUCCAUGGACUGUAUAGUCCAUGGGAUCGCAAAGAGUCGGACACAACUGAGCGACUUUCACUUCACUUCACUUCACUUCAAACCUGUAUAAAGAGGGCAAGCCAUGGGAGAUGUGCCCUAUUUUGAGGGGCUCCUGGUUUUUUGAGAGCAUGUUUAGAGAUAGAAAUAAACCAAGCAAAUAGCGGGUAUCUAUGUGGUGG